rnacentral:rRNA from 1 species
GACGAACGCUGGCGGCGUGCUUAACACAUGCAAGUCGAACGGAAAGGCCCUGCUUUUGUGGGGUGCUCGAGUGGCGAACGGGUGAGUAACACGUGAGUAACCUGCCCUUGACUUUGGGAUAACUUCAGGAAACUGGGGCUAAUACCGGAUAGGAGCUCCUGCUGCAUGGUGGGGGUUGGAAAGUUUCGGCGGUUGGGGAUGGACUCGCGGCUUAUCAGCUUGUUGGUGGGGUAGUGGCUUACCAAGGCUUUGACGGGUAGCCGGCCUGAGAGGGUGACCGGCCACAUGAGGACUGAGAUACGGACCAGACUCCUACAGGAGGCAGCAGGGGGGAAUAUGGCACAAUGGGCGGAAGCCUGAUGCAGCAACGCCGCGUGCGGGAUGACGGCCUGCGGGUUGUAAACCGCUUUCGCCUGUGACGAAGCGUGAGUGACGGUAAUGGAUAAAGAAGCACCGGCUAACUACGUG